UGCGAGACCGAUAGCGAACAAGUACCGUGAGGGAAAGAUGAAAAGAACUUUGAAAAGAGAGUUAAAGAGUACCUGAAACUGCUGAAAGGGAAGCGAAUCGUAUCCAGUGUCUAUAAUCUGCAGCAUAUUUCAUUGGCGGCUUUGUGCGUGCUAUUGUUUCGGAAGCGGCUUUUGUUGCUCUGUGCUUUGGUGUUGUGCGUUGCUGCUGGUGCCCUGUGUUGUGGUGGGACGUCAGAGUCAGUUCGUAUGCUGCGGGAAAUGGCCGCCGAGGAGGUAGGUCAGGACUUCGGUCUUGGCUGUUAUAUCUUGGUGGUUUGUUGUCGUGGUUGGGACUGAGGUGCCUACAAUGUGCUUUUGAGUGUGCUGGGUUCUCAUUUGGUGGACUGUUUGGAUAGCUUGCUAUGCUUGUGGUUUUUUCAUCGAGUGAUUGAGUCUGGUGGUAACUUGUUGCUGUUCGGGACUUUGAA
rnacentral:rRNA from 2 species